rnacentral:rRNA from 1 species
ACGAAGGGGGCUAGCGUUGUUCGGAAUUACUGGGCGUAAAGCGCACGUAGGCGGAUAUUUAAGUCAGGGGUGAAAUCCCGGAGCUCAACUCCGGAACUGCCUUUGAUACUGGGUAUCUCGAGUAUGGAAGAGGUGAGUGGAAUUCCGAGUGUAGAGGUGAAAUUCGUAGAUAUUCGCAAGAACACCAGUGGCGAAGGCGGCUCACUGGCCCGGUACUGACGCUGAGGUGCGAAAGCGUGGGGAGCAAACAGGA